AUAUAUAUCAAUGAUGGUAUAUUAAAAAAGAUUAGGAUUUAAGAUUAAACUGUUACUUUGGAAUAUUUUAUUAAUUAUUAGUAUCAGAUACCAAUGUUGUUAAUACGCCAUAUAUAUAAAAAUAUACAAACAACAUUAUUAUACUUUAAAGUAAAACAUUAUUGGCUUAAGCCAAUAACGUUUUUGACAAAAUAUUUUUAUAAUAAUAAGCUUAUUUUUGUAAAAAUAUCAAGAUACUUUUACAAUAAUAAGUUUAUUCUUAUUUCUUGUUAGUGUCUUUCUAAUAUACAGUAAUAUAAUUUUAAAAUACAGUAAUAUUAUUUGUUUUUAAUUUUUUUUUUCAUACCUUUUUCUUGUUAGUAAAGUUGUUAUACGUAAAGCAGAACUGAUUUAAUAACUGUUAUUUUUAUUGACUGUUGACAAUUUCAAGAUCUUUUUUUUUUGAUUAUACAAUUUUUUUGUUAUCUUUAUUCCAAUAUGCACAGACUACAGCUGGUAAGUUAUUAUAGCAUAACUUUUAUUAACCAUUAAAGAAAUAUAAAUAAAUAUAUGUAUUUCCUACUUAUUUAAUUAUUACUUGUUGUGUAUGGAUUUCCCAUUUGCUGCAAUUUUUUAAUUUUAGUAUCUACCUUUUGUGUCACAUGUAAGUUAAACAACUUUUUAAUGUUAAAACUUUACAAUAUGUUUAACUUUAGUUCCUUAGUCAUGUGCUGCAACUAGUAAUUUAAAAAACUAUUACAUUUUAUGUGUAUGCAUCUCUCGUUAUUUAAAUUAUUGAUUUUUUGUUACAACAUUGUAAUUUUAGUAUCUGCCUCUUGUGCUACACCUGUUCUUUAUACGUGUGGCUACGCCUGUUCCAUCUGUACCACCUUUAAACGGUUGGUGGGUUAAAUAUGAUCAUUUAAAUGAGAAAAUGUAUACUAGUGCAACUUGUAAUCUGGGUGUUAUAACAUCACAAGCACAUCUAUGGUCAACUCUAAGAUCACCUUAUUUUGUUUAGCAGUGUUUUGGAAUCAAGUUAUGGCAAUAUUUUGUGUAUAAAAUAUAACAAUUACAUUUAAAAAGUGCUUAUUUCUGACAAAAACUUGUAUUUUCUUAAGGGUUAGAUGGUGUUUCAUUACCCCCUCUGGCUCCCAAGAUACACCCUACAUCCAGGCACCAAAAUGAACUUGUAGCCCAUUAGUGCACCUAUCUUGUGAUACCAAGAUAUAG